CGCCUGCUAAAAACAUCCCUGCCCAGCGGCUCAGAAAUGUUGAUCUCCGUUUCAGCUUUCUGCAUGCUUUCAAGUAUUCCUGUCCAUUUCCCUGGGUUUUCUCGUCAUUCACCUUUCCCUGCUUCAUUUCCCUCCUUUUUCCAGCUUCUGAAGAAAAACCCAAAUUGGAGAAGCCCAAAUCCGAGGUCAGUGUCCAAGAUGCUCCCAAGACUACCAAGUUCUCUCGAUUCCUCAUCUUUCUAUUCUUUUAAAAACUUAUCUCUGUGUCACUCACUGAGAGGCAGUGCGGUGCAGUGGUGAGAGGGCCAGACUAGGCCCUGGCAGAGAGAUCUGGGUUCGAAUCCCCAGUCCCUGGCCAUGAUGAAGCUCGCAGCGGGGCUGGGGGGCAGGAUCCAGUCUGCCUACUUCGCAGGGUUGUUGUGGAACAAUUCCUGCAAUUGCAACCCCCAGCCAGCUAAUGUUUCAUCUCCGAAUCGGGUCAGAAUCUCACAGAUUUCUCUUCUUUCUGCAGUAACGGACUCUGGGCAACCCAACUCCCGGCUUGGUUUGUUGCCUGUCUCCAGAUCCCGUUGAAAGAGCAAAGUGGAUCGUAGGCCCCAGGACUCCUGGGUCCCUCCUCUUUUGCUGCCCAUUCUUGCCCCUCCGGUCCCUUGUUGGAAGCCUCCUUCCCCUUCUUUUUUGGGGUCAGGGGUCUGCUUGGCUUCGCAUCCUGCAGAUUCACAGCUGUGAUUUUAAGGAGGGGGCCAGAUCUGUGGAUAGCAAAAGCCCCCCUUUCUAACAGUCCCUGCCCCUCCUCACUUGCGUGCUGUGAAAUGAUAGAAUUG